CCCUUAGAUGUUCUGGGCCGCACGCGCGCUACACUGAAUGGAUCAACGUGUUUUCCCUUCCCGAGAGGGACGGGUAACCCGCUGAACCCCAUUCGUGGUAGGGAUCGGAGCUUGCAAUUGUUCUCCGUGAACCAGGAAUUCCCAGUAAGCGCAAGUCAUAAGCUUGCGUUGAUUACGUCCCUGCCCUUUGUACACACCGCCCGUCGCACCUACCGAUUGAAUGGUCCGGUGAAAUCUCGGGACGGCGGCUUGGUCGCUUGCGUCCGACUGCUGAAACUUGAUUAAACCAUAUCAUUUAGAGGAAGGUGAANUCGUAACA
rnacentral:rRNA from 1 species